rnacentral:rRNA from 1 species
GUGGGGAAUAUUGCACAAUGGGCGGAAGCCUGAUGCAGCGACGCCGCGUGAGGGAUGACGGCCUUCGGGUUGUAAACCUCUUUCAGCAGGGACGAAGCGUAAGUGACGGUACCUGCAGAAGAAGCACCGGCUAACUAUGUGCCAGCAGCCGCGGUAAUACGUAGGGUGCGAGCGUUGUCCGGAAUUACUGGGCGUAAAGAGCUCGUAGGCGGUUUGUCACGUCGUCUGUGAAAUCCUAGGGCUUAACCCUGGACGUGCAGGCGAUACGGGCUGACUUGAGUACUACAGGGGAGACUGGAAUUUCUGGUGUAGCGGUGGAAUGCACAGAUAUCAGGAAGAACACCGAUGGCGAAGGCAGGUCUCUGGGUAGUAACUGACGCUGAGGAGCGAAAGCAUGGGUAGCGAACAGGAUUAGAUACCCUAGUAGUCC